UACGUAGGGUGCGAGCGUUAAUCGGAAUUACUGGGCGUAAAGCGUGCGCAGGCGGUUCGUUGUGUCCGUCGUGAAAGCCCCGGGCUUAACCUGGGAACUGCGAUGGAAACUAGCGAGCUGGAGUGUGGCAGAGGGGGGUGGAAUUCCGCGUGUAGCAGUGAAAUGCGUAGAGAUCCGGAGGAAGACCGGUGGCGAAGGCGGCCUGCUGGGCAGUUACUGACACUGAGGCGCGACAGCGUGGGGAGCAAACAGG
rnacentral:rRNA from 1 species